UACGGAGGGUGCAAGCGUUAUCCGGAUUCACUGGGUUUAAAGGGUGCGUAGGCGGGCAGUGAAGUCAGUGGUGAAAUCCUGGAGCUCAACUCCAGAACUGCCAUUGAUACUAUCUGUCUUGAAUAUUGUGGAGGUAAGCGGAAUAUGUCAUGUAGCGGUGAAAUGCUUAGAUAUGACAUAGAACACCUAUUGCGAAGGCAGCUUGCUACGCAUAUAUUGACGCUGAGGCACGACAGCGUGGGGAUCAAACAGG
rnacentral:rRNA from 1 species